rnacentral:rRNA from 1 species
AAUAGAUACCCAGGUAGUCCACGCCGUAAACGAUGGAUGCUAGCUGUUAGGAGUAUCGACCCUCCUAGUAGCGUAGCUAACGCGUUAAGCAUCCCGCCUGUGGAGUACGGUCGCAAGACUAAAACAUAAAGGAAUUGACGGGGACCCGCACAAGCGGUGGAGCGUGUUGUUUAAUUCGAUGGUAAGCGAAGAACCUUACCCAGGCUUGACAUCCUGUUAAUCACUCCGAAAGGAGAGAGUGCCUUCGGGCCGCAGUGACAGGUGAUGCAUGGCCGUCGUCAGCUCGUGUCGUGAGAUGUUUGGUUAAGUCCAUCAACGAGCGCAACCCUUAUAGUUAGUUGUAUUUCUCUAGCUAGACUGCCCUGGUAACAGGGAGGAAGGAGGGGAUGAUGUCAGGUCAGUAUCUCCCUUACGUCUGGGGCUACAAACACGCUACAAUGGCCGGUACAAAGGGCAGCCAACCCGCGAGGGGGAGCAAAUCCCAUCAAAGCCGGUCUCAGUUCGGAUUGCAGGCUGAAACUCG